GGAGAGCCGCGGUUUCGGGGAGGAGUCUGGGGUCGAGCCCAGCUCUGCGUGACUUCCGGCAGCACUUGGAGCGUUUUGGUGUCCGAGUUGAAGAGCAAAACCAAGUGGAAGAAACUUCACUAAAUUCAGAGUGACAAGGAACAGAGCUCUUGAAAAACACUGUCUGGGUAUCUUCAGAGGAAAAAAGGAGAAUCUUAAUUGAAUUGGUGAUACUUUGGGUCUCUCACAGAGGAAGAGACCACCAAACCAGCAGAAGCCCCAGGACAGCACACAGCCAUUCCAAAAUUCCAAACCAGACUCAUUCCAGGAAAGCCUUACAUCUCAGUCUAGAAUGUGGAUGGUUCUGUAAGAUGACCUGUGAUUCUCCUGUUCCUGCUUUCUGCCCCUAAUUUUAGAGAAACAGACCUAGAAAGAGGGAGGGGAGGAGUGAAAGAGUGUGCCAUACUUUACCUUCUCCCCUCCUAUUUUAAACUGGACAAAUCUGUUUUAAUUAUUAAAAGUAGCUACAAAGUUAAACAGUCUGUCCAGGACGGCAUUAAAGAAAAUGAGAACGAAAGGUUUAAGAUAGCAUGGUUGGAGACAAUAAUUAGAAGAAACCAAGUAGUUUAAUUUUUUAUAAUGCUCUGUCUUAUAAACACUCUUGAAUUAAAAAUCAUCCUAUUAUUGGAAGAGAUCGUCAGGGUUGAAAUGCUACACAUAAUUGAAGACUACUUAUUAGACCAAGACCUUAAAAACUUCUUUACUGACUGUUCCCAAUAUGUGGCACUGGUAAUCAUUAAAGAAUCAUUGUAUUGACUAUUAAACAUCUAGGGAUCCCCUGUUGUAAAUCAAGUUAACAAAACAUUUAUUUAACAAAUAUAUAUUGAUUGCCUAUUAUGAGGUACAUGCUAUAGUAGGUGUUGGCAGUAUAAAUAUGAAGAAGACAUUGUGUGUGUGUAUUUAUAUACAGUUAAUUAAACUUCAGCCAGAGAAGUACUAUACUAGAGGGUUGAUGGAGGUAUGAUGGUAUUUCCCAGGAGGAAGCAGUUAGCCUCCUUGGAAAUGAGUAGUCUUCACAGAAAGUAUGACAUUUGACCUACUUCUUAAGGAGAUGCAUAUGAAGCCUAUUAAAUCCAUGUCAGCCUUGAACACCAUUGCUCUGAUUAGUUUCUUGGGCUGUUUUUCCACCUGGUGAGCAGAUAAGAGUAGCACAGGAAAGUUCUGAUGAAAGGAAGAAGUGCCAGAGAGAGAAGGCCUUCUAAGGAAAGAAGCCUGUAAGACGGAACUCCCUGAGGAUCCUAAGUACCAGCAAUUGAGGGAAGAAAAUUGCUGCCGGAAGUGCAGGAAAUGAAAAUUCUGACCUAGAUCAUUUUACUUAUGUCUUCCCUGGUUCUAUGAAUAUAUCUCAGGGGUCCUUUUAUCAUCACAUCUCAUUUACCAGGCAAGGUUAAUCAGUGACCACAUGAGACAGUCACUGACUCUUAAGAUUUUACGAUUUGAAACAAUUUAUACAAAUGUGUAGAGAGACAGGUAGACCAGUGGUCUCCAACCUUUUUGGCACCAGAGACUCAUGCUUUGGAAGACAAUUUUUCCACUGGUUGGGAUGGGGGAGCGGGAGUUGGAUGUCACAGGAGUUGGAUGUGUUGGGGGGGUUGGUGUCAGGAUGAAACUCUUCCACCUCAGAUCAUCAGGCAUUAGUUAGAUUCUCAUAAGUAGUGUGCAACCUAGAUCCCUUACAUGAGCAGUUCACAAAAGAGUUCACACUCCUAUGAGAAUCAAAUGUGUGGCUGAUCUGAUGGGAGGAAGAGCUCAGGCAGGUGGUAAUGCCCACUCACCACCACUCACUUCCUGCUGUGUGGCCUGGUUUCAAACAGGCCUCAGACCAGUACCUGUCUGCAGCUGGGGGGCUGGGGACCCCCAAUUGUAGAUCUGUAAAAAAAGGGCUGAUAGAGCUGCUAAUGCAAGCCUCAAGAUUAGUAAAGAAGCAAAUACAGAAGUGCAGUUCAAGUAUACAGAUGUUCUCUUUAUCCUGUAGCUCUCUGAAGUUUUGCUGAUUCUACUUUGUAUUUUUAACGGUUCCAAAUUUAAUGAGGUGUGUAAUUGAGUGUUAGUUGUGAGAUUUGUAGCAAGUCUCUGAGAGAUCCCUUUUUAAAAAAAUAAUCCAAAAACUAGAAGAUUGGACUAAAUUACCACUAUGAUUCUUUUCAAAGCUAUCUUAAUUUACAACUAUUUGAAGUUACUUCAAUCAGUGUUAAUGAUACCAUAGUUGCAGAUUUGAAGCACUGAGAUGCAGUUCACUUAUUUAAAAACUACUUGGUAAGGGUUUAUUGGGAGGAUUGCAAGAUAAAAUACAGGACACCUAGUUAAAUUUGAAUUUCACAUAAAGAGUGAAGAUUUUUAAUGUAAGUAUGUUUCAUAAAAUAUUUGAAUAAACACAAAUAUCUAAAUAUACUUAAAAUAUUUGUUCCCCAUUUGAAGUUAAAAUUUAACUAUCUGUUCUAAAGUUUGUUACAAAAUCUAGCAUUCUUACAUCUAUGUUAGUUUCAAUAUAGUAGUAACUAGGCUCUGUGGAAGACAAAAUGGUGAAUCAGUCAUAUAGAUCCUUUGUUCAGUCUAGAGUGGCAAAUGAGAGUCAAAUAUUAAUAAUGAUAUUGCAAAGUAAAAAGUGAUGAGUUCAUGAGAAAUGUACUAAGAGAGGGCUAUAAAGUUUGCAGGAGAGAGAAAUUACUUUUGGUCACAAGAGCAAGAGAAGAACUUGAGCUGGGCUGAGAAACAUGGCAGGAUCAAGGUUUGUGAAUAUGGUAGGAGGGAGGAGUAAGAGCAUUUCCAGUAGAGCAAAUGGCUUGAAUAAAGGCAUGGAGGGAAAGUACAGAGGAAGAGAGGACAGCUAGUCAUUUGGUUUGACUGUGGCCUGAUUGGGUAAACGGAAAUUAAAGCAGAAAAUACUAGAAAGGGAAGGCAAAGUCAUACCAAGGGAGCUACAAGUAGGAGGGAUGAAGGCUAGAAAUCUGAAUAAGCUAAAGAAUUUGAUUUGAUGCUUGAAGGUUUUUGAUCCAGGGUGACGCUGCCUACCAAUAGCGACAAGGGAGAGGGGUAAAGAAUCAUCCCAAAUGAGUCACUUCCAAGAAAAACUUGGGCUGUUAGUGUUGUUUUUAACACAUAGCUUAAGAAACAUAUUAGGUGAAAAGGAAAUACAGGUAAGUGGGAAAAUUACAAGUUUAGGUAUGAAAAGAUUAUGGGUUCAAAUCCACAUUCUCCUUCUGUAUGAUGUUAUUUCCUAUCUGAAACUCAGUUUCCUUCUAUAUAGAAAAGACUACAGAUGCUCUCAUUAUGCUUGGAAGUUAUAAGUACCACUGUUUCCCUGGCACACAUUAGGAGCUCACUAAAUACUAAUUGCCAUGAGUUAUUAUUUACUUAUUACUUAUUCUCCUCUAGUCUUCAGAGUAUCAUAUUUUAUUGUAACAGGUGAAGAUGCUCCCAAUAGAUUUAAAAUUUUUUUUUCAAAAUAUUUUUCUCUAUAUGAAGAAAAUCUUUUUCUUAAAAUAAACAAAUACCAGCAUAUCUAUCUGAACUUAAAAAAAAAAAAGAACAAGGAAAAAUUAAGAAGCCAACAUUUGGAAUAUUUUGUCCAAAUAUUUACUGUAAAUUGAUUUCCUUGAUACUAGAGAAAGCUAGAUGUUCUUCCUAAAUACCACAUGGUUAAACCAGAAAUCCUGAGAAAAAAGCUGAGGUAUCAUUCAAUAAUUAUGAAGUGAAAGCAAGAACUUCUAUUUAAUUAUUUAUAGCCUCACCAAAUAGUAUAGAAUUUAGGUCAGUAAGUGAACCAAAGAGUCUCAUGGAUCCUGUGUACUUACAGGAAUAACAAAGCAUGUGGGCUCAUGACCUGUGAAAGCCAGAGUGAAGGGGAGAAUUAAGCAUUAAUAGGAUCUUUUCUGUAUAAAGACUCAUUCUGGGCCUGGCAUGGUGGCUCAUGCCUAUAAACUUAGCACUUUGGGAGGCCAAGGUAGGAGGACCAGUUAAGCUCAGGAGUUUGAGACCAGCCUGGACAACAUGGUGAAACUCUAUCUCUACAAAAAAAUACAAUACUUAGCUGGGUAUGGUGGUAUGCACCUGUAGUUCCAGAUACUCAGGAAGCUAAAGUGGGAUGAUCUCCUGAGCCCAGGAGUCCUGGCAUGCAGUGAGCCAAGAUGGUGCCACUACACUCCAGCCUCGGUGACUGAGUAAGACCCUGUCUCAAAAAAAUAAAAAAUUUAAAAAGACUGAUUCUGGGUCAUUGCCCUUGUUUCUGAUUUUUUUUUCCUCUAGAAUUCUAUCUCAGUUGUCUCUUUGUCCAUUAAAAUAGGCCACAAUGAUUGAUGCUAAAUUUGUUCUUUGAGAUAGCACCUAGAGGAACAGUUAUCCAAAAUGUUCUGUGCCCUGUCAAAGGCUGAAAUAGCUACCAUUGCUAAAAUUACGUGUUUAUAGAUAAUACCUCCCUAUUUUGGCAUUUUUCUUUCAAAAAUGAGUUAUCACAACCUGUACCUGCUUUUAUUCAUAUCUUUUUUGCUCAACCUCAUUGUCGAGUAUCUAAAAUAGAUUUGCAACUGAAGAACUACUCAUUCCCUUGUCUUGCCAUUCCAGGCCUGUAGCUUUCUUUCAAACUUAUUCCUAUGCACAGCACAACACGAGCUGUAUCUUAGGUUUAUUCUCAUACUUUGUAUUUGGAGUCAAUAAACUUGGUAAGGGCACAGCUGUGACACAGUAGGAUUCCUACAGGCUUUAAGCAAAUGUACGUGAUUUUAUCAGUCCCAGAAGACUAGGCCUUGAGUGAUUUGCUUGGGUAACAUUUUUGGCAGUGUUUCUUUCUUUGUUUUUAUUAAUAUUCUGGAUUCAUGUUUGUGAGACUCUCAAAUUUAUUUCAAAUUAGAUAAAGGUGACCUUCCCCUUCACCAAGCAGAACCUCCCAUGAGACUCAUGAAUCCUGUUGAGGCCAAUUAUAGCUAUCACUUGUUAACUAUUGGAGUACCUUCAGUCUUAAAAUAGCUACUAGAAAAUUAAGACUGCAACAUGAAGGAAAACAAAAUGGUCAGGCAUAUCACCCAUUUUUAAUCAAAUGAUUUGGUUUAGGACUUGAUAACCUGGUUAGUACUUGAGCACUGAGCAACAUUUUGAAUUUAAAGUAAGUUGGAGAAAAUAAAGGAAGUUAAAUCACAGAGCAUAGAAAUAAAAUCAGUUAUAUUCGGAACAGAAACAUCUUGGGCUCAAUGUCUGGGAACAGUGAGAUUAGGCUGCUUGAGAACUUAGCUCUUACUGGGUUCCGUGGCCUCCACCUGCAAGAGGACACUCUCGUCCCAGCGAGACUGACAUGAGAAUCACAAGACCACUGCCCUCUAUCUCAUCUUUUCUCCAAGCCUUAGGCCAUCAUGGGAUUCACUAACAUCAUUCACACUUCAGAAAUAAUAUAUCAGAGUGAUCCCCUCUUUUCUGCUCAUCUUUCUGCCUCUGUAGAAAAGGGAGAAUUUCACUGUUUACCUCAGGAAACAUGAAAGUUAAUGAUAAAUAUAAAUGAUGGAUGAAGCGAGCAUUGAAAGCUAUAAAGUUAAAAGUAGGACCUAAUACCCUGUAGUAACAUGUGCUCCUUUUUAAAAGAAAACAAAGGUGAGUCAUUUUAGAAAGGUUAAUUUCUGCUACCUCUCGAAAAUAUUCUCAGAAUAAUUACAGAGAAAAAUUGUAACAAAACACUGGAGGCACCAUUGGUGAAAGAAAACUGUAUAUUCUUGUAUUUUAGUCAGGAAAGAAUAAUAUCUACCUGAUCAAAAUGACUUUUUUCCUCAGAAACUGUAGUACUGGCUCCUAGAAAACAGAGAAUUUAAACUACUAUUUCUCAGAAUGUUUUCUUUACAUGACCCAAAGAUAGUUUCCCUCCAUGAGAAAACAUCCCAGUGUUUGUAUUCAAGUUGCCAUCAAUACGAAGCAAUAGUACGUUCACAUAUAAUGUGUUUCCAGCUUUUCAAAGCAUUUUCACUUGUUUCUCAAUUGUUUAUUACAAUAAUAACCUUGUGUUGACAUUAUUAUCUUCAUUUUAUAAAUGAGUCAACUCAGAUUCCGACAUUAAGGGACCUUCUUAAUAUACUUAGCUUAUAGUGACAGAACCAAGGCAAAACCAAAAGUCCUUGCCAAAGACCACCUCCAUAUUUAUCUUCAGUGGACUCCCUGAGUUUUGUAUGUUGCUCUUCUGUGGUAUGGCAGAAGCCCUCCAAAUUUGGAAAAGCAAGCAAGUACAAGGUAGGCACUUAGAUGAUCGUUCCUCAACUGGCUUCUCCACAGCCUUUUCUUCCCAAUAUAUAAAAUACAGCGAUAAAGGACAGAAGACUAACAUUUUAAACACUGAAUGGUUGCUCAAAUUUACUCCUCCUAUAUAAUGGUAGGAUUUGUUCUUCUAAUGCUGUACAGCUGCACUGACUACUUAAAUUGCAUGUUUCACAUGUCUCUACUAUUCAGCUCCUCUUCUCAUCUCUGCAGUACCUACCCCCAACAUACUAUUGGCUUAACAAUCCCCAUGGAAGAUUCUUUGAAUUUAAGAGACAGAUUUGAGGGAAACACAAAUGGCCAUCCUUUCAUUUAUCUGCUUCUAUCACAGAAAUUUGAUUGUUCUCUAAAGGCAAGCAUGGAUUUUUUUUCUUCCAGCAGCUUCAAGGUAAUUUUCUACUUAACUCGCAUAGUAGCAGUUGUUGGGGCUCAGAAAACCUCAAAAUGUGCCAUUUUGAUAUGCUAAUUAUUUCAAACUGAGGGCACUUUGGAAACAGCAAAUACAGGAAAGGGCUCUACCUGAACUCCCUUAAGUGCCUGAAGACAGAGCCUUCAAAAAGUAACAAAAUUGUCAUUGGUAUCCUCCCUGGGAAUCUCAUCAGGGAGGGAAGAUUAACUCACAGGAAACACCACACUCCAGAUAGACUUUGUCACAAACUAUCCAUCACCUCUUCUUCUGAUGAGGUCCUUGGAGACAACUUUUAUUACCUGAGAUAUGUUAUUUGCAUAACAAGACAACCUUUGUUCUCCAUGCAUUCCCUCCUCUUAUUCUCCUACAACUUGUAUAGACACCCCCGCCACCCCCGCCCCCCAAAUAAACCACCAACCCCUACUCCUUUCUUUAGCUCAGGAUGCUAUAGAAACUUCUAUCAUCUGGCCCCUCUUCAAAUCCUCUACUUUGUGGGACUCCUAUUGUAAUUAAAAUAACUUUUCUACUACUGAUCUGCCUGCUGUCUGUAUAUUUCAUAGAUUCAAUUAUUGAACCUUCAGAGGAUAGAAAGUUUUAUCUCCCCUACACAGUUAUGAGUAACUUGGAAUUUUACUCAUUGUUUUGUAUCAUUAGUUACCUUUAUUUAUAUACAUAUGUCCUCUCACUCCAUCACUCCAAAUGAAGUGAUAUGCACAUAUAUAUAAAAUACAUAUUUCAUAUUUCUAUGUCCUGUUUUCCCUCCAUUCCUUGCAUUUUUCCUUGUGUAUUGUUAGUGUUCAAAUAAAUAUUUGUCAAAUCAAACAAAAAGGAAAUGAAAGAAUGAAAAGUCCUAUAAACCUAUCAAUAGUAAACAAUAGUGGCUGUACUUUUAUUUCAGAGAAGCAAGUCAACAGUUUUCACAUGAAAUGUCUUGGAAAUAUUCCCUAAUGACUUGGCAGUCAACAAUUCCCAGCUCAAAAAAUUUAAAAAAGAUAAAACAAUACAUUACCUUUAUUGUUAUGAAUAUCUUCAAAAAUAAUUUCUCAUAAAUUUAGUUAUGAUUUAAUUGUUUGCGAAACUAUUGGGAAUUAUUUCAUUUUGCUUACCAUUCUUAUAGAGAAGAAAAACUAAUUUUCUCUCUACUCUGUAGUUCUUAAAUGAAACUUCUUGUAACAAAAGACAGAUUAAUAGGAAGAAGCUUAUUAAAAUGUAUACUUAAUUGUUAAACAUUAUAUGGGAGAAGAUCUAAAAAUGAGUAAAUCUCUAGAGCCAAUCUCAAAGAAAGUUUAAACUUCAGGCUAAAUGCCAUUGUUUUUUGAAACAAGAAAGAAAGAUGUAGGAAAAGAUCCAGCUAACAGGAGAUGGCUAGGAAAACUAUCUUAAACAAAGGUAAUGGGAAGUUCUAAUUAGGGAAAGGGAGUCAGGCUGGCGGGACCAAGGGAAAGAAAAAAGAAAAAGCAGAUCUGCUGUAAGUCCUUUCUUCAUGGUUCAGUCCACAUAGCCCUCCUAUACAAAUAACUCACAAUCUUCCUGUGUCCAGCUAUCACUAGACCCUUGGCUGAUCAAAAAAUGCAAGGUAGCUCACUGCAAUCUUGGUGUUAUCUGUACUGCACAAAAGCCUCUUCAGCACACAGCAAGCACAAGCACCAUGCUAGAAAAUCACCAACAAGCCUUUGUCUUUUGGAGUCAGCUCGUCUCUUGCUGAUUUGCCCAUUGCGUUCUCACAAUGUAUCUUCCUACUUUCUCUAAUAAAUCUGUCUUUAUCUCCAACUGUCUUGGUAAAUUCUUUUUAUCACCGAUCUGACACUGGCCCCUGAGAGUCACCAUCUGCAACAGAGGGAUGAUUAUGCAAAUUUAAGUCAAAACCUUUUCCAUUUUGUGUAGGAGUCAUUGGUGAUUUAGUGUCCUUUUCUUCCUGAUACAGGGAGAAAGACUCUUACAAAUAAAGAUUUCUUUUACAGAUAUAAAGUUCUCUCUCUAAAAAAGUAACUUUUUAGGGCCAAUCCUGUGUCUGGUGUUUCUCAAAAUAAUAUGCCAAACAUUUUGAGGUGGCAUAUUCUGUUCUUCUACAGUCAUGUUUUGGGGUAUUGUACCUUGAGCACUACCAUAUUCCUGUUUAAAACUUUCCAAAGCAGUUUCACAAUCCAGAAACUGAGUUGGUGGAUUAUCCCCUGACCCAGGGAAUUUUUAUAAAAACAAAAGGAAAAGGUUAAUAGUUAGAACUAAUUAUAAUCUAGUUUUUUAGUUUGGAAAGCAGCCAAUCAAGAAGGUUUUUAAAUGCUUGUCUUAAAGCACCUGCUGCAGUCUGAAUACCUCCAGUGAUGGCUGAGUGGCCCAUACAGCAACAAUCAUGAAGAUUGUCCAUACAUGAGCCAUUACUAUGAUUUCUCUGCAAUUUAUAUCAAGUUGUCCAGUUUUAGCUCACAGGGCUUUAGUAAAGAGGAAUUCUUUAUUUUUAGUGAUUCCAUGUUGGAAAGGUAGGAGAAAAUUUGAAAUGUUAGUUUUAAGAGUUUUAGCAAAGUCUCAGCCAAAUGUUAGAAUUCAGGGUCAGUUGAAGUUUACAGGUAGAUAGCAAAACCUCAAAGACAAUAAGCAGGAGUAGAGUCUAAUAACAAGUAUACUAUAGUUUUCUCUUGGAACAUAAUUUUUCUCUCCGUAGUCACCCCUACUUGGAGAAAAGUUACAUCCCUACUUACUGCAAAGUUAGUUGCAGUAAGAAUAAUUUGUUUACAAACUAAGUCUACUGUCAUCAUGUCCUGAUUAUUUACAUAAGCGUAGCAAGAGUAGUGAUUAACCAUAAAGGCUCUUUUUAAGUUGGCUUCACUGGAACUUUAAUAAGAAAUCUGAGACUGGACUUCUUAAGCAUCAUAAGGCUCUGAUGCCAACCCAAGAACUUGUCAUCAGAUAUUGUAACAGGAUAAAAAAAAUUUUUUUUUCUUAUUCCUUUUUCUCUACUUUCCCAUUUCUGUGAAAAGAGUUUUUUUUUAAAUAAAAGAUUGAUACUUAGCAUAAUAGGCAGUCAGUAUUAGCAAGAAUAAAAAAUUUUAGUCUUAGAAAUACCAUGUUUUGAAGAAAUUAAGGCUUCAAAGCCUCACUUGAAGAUUCACAAUAUCAGUCUGAUGUCCCCCAUCAGACUGAAGCCAGGAUAUUUGCUUAAAACCUUGAUGCCUUUGAAGAUUCCACUUCAGGAUGCAUUCAAGUACUUGGCUUUGGGUGUGGGGAUAAACAGAUAGUAGAAAAAGUAUAAACAAUGUUGGAAAGAGAAAGAGAGAGGAAAACAAGAGGGAGAAAGAACAAUUUGCAUGUACUCAUCUGGGAACCAAUAUUGUGUUGUGGUUAAUAUCAGCUUCUCUGGAAUCAGAUGGCCAAGUUUAAAAUCAGCCACCUUGUUAAAUGAGGAAUAUAAUAGUCAUAACUUCAAAUAAUUAUUCUAAGGGUAUGUCUUUAGUAGCAGUGUGAGAACAGACUAAUACAGUAAAUUGGUAAUGGUAGACUGGGGUGCUGCUAUAGAGAUACCCGAAAAUGUGGAAGCUACUUUGGAAGUAGGAAACAGAGACUAGAAGAGUUUGGAGGGCUCAGAAGUCAGGAAGAUGUAGCAAAGUUUGGAACUUCCUAAAGACUUGUUGGAUGACUUUGACCGAAAUGCUGACAGUGAUAUGGACAAUAAAGUCCAGGCUGAGGUGGUCUCAGACGGAGAUGAGGAACUUAUUGGCAACUGAAGCAAAGGUGACUCUUGCUAUGUGUUAGCAAAGAAUCUGGCAGCAUUUUGCCCCUGUCCUAGAGAUCUGUGGAACUUUGAACUUGAAAGAGCUGAUUUAAGGUAUCUGGCGGAAGAAAUUUCUAAGCAGCAAAGCAUUCGAGAGGUGACCUGUUUUUUUUCUGAACGUGUGCAGUUAUAUACACUCACAAAGAGAUGGUUUGAAAUUGGAACUUAAGUUUAAAAAAGAAGCAGAGCAUAAAGGUUUGGAAUAUUUGUAGCCUUACCAUACAUAGAAAAGAAAAACCCAUUUUCUGGGGAGAAAUUCAAGUCUGCUACUGAAUUUUGCAUAAGUAAUUAGGAGUCAAAUGUUAAUAGCCAAGACAAAUGGGAAAAUAUCUCCAGGGCAUGCCAAAGAUCUUCAUGGAAGCCCCUCCUGUCACAGACCCAGAAGCCUAGGAGGGAAAAAUGGUUUUGUGAGCCAACCCCAGGUUCUUGCUUCUCUGUGCAGUCUCAGGACUUGAUGUCCUGCAUCUCAGCUGCUCCAGCUCUAGUCGUGACUAAAAGGAGCCAACGUACAGCUUGGGCCAUGCCUCAGAAGGUACAAACCCCUAGCCUUGGCAGCUCCCAUGUGGUGGUGGGCCUAUGGGUGUGCCGAAGACAAGAGUUGAGCUUUGGGAGCCUCUGCCUAGAUUUCAAAGGAUGUGUGGAAAUACCUGGAUGUUCUGGCAGAAGUUUGAUGCAGGGGUAGAACCCUCAUGGAGAACCUCUAGUAGGGCAAUGCAGAGGGGGAUUGUGGGGUUGGAGGCCCUACACAAAAUCCUCACUGGGGCACUGCCUAGUGGAGUUGUGAGAAGAAGGCCACCAUCUGCCAGACCCAAGAAUGGUGGAUCCACCGACAGCUUGCCUCAUGCAUCUGGAAAAGCCACUGGCACUCAAUGCCAGCCCGUGAAAGCAGCUGUGGGGGCUAUACCCUGCAGAGCCAUAGAGGCAGAGCUGCCCAAGGCCUUGGGAACCUACUCCUUAUAUCAAUGUGAACUGGAUGUGAGACAUGGAGCCAAAGGAAGUUAUUUUGAAGUGGUAAGCUUUAAUUAGUGUCCUCUGGUUUCAGACUUGAAAACAAAGGACCUGUGGCCCCUUUGUUUUGGCCAGUUUUACCCAUUUGGAACAGAAAUAUUUACCCAAUGUUUGUACCCCCAUUGUAUCUUGGAAGUAACUAAGUUGCUUUUGAUUUUACAAGCUCAUAAGUGGAAGGGACUUUCCUUGUCUCUGAUGAGACUUUGGAUUUAGACUUUUAGGUUAAUGCUGGGAUGAGUUAAGACUUUGGCUGACUGUUGGAAAGGCAUAAUUAUGUUUUGAAAUGUGGAAAGGAUAUGAGAUUUGGGAGGUGCCGGGGCAGAAUGAUAUAGUUUGGCUCUGUGUUCCCACCCAAAUCUCAUCUCAAAUUGUAAUCCCCAGGUGUCAAGGAAGGGACCUGGUGGGAGGUGAUCCUAGGGACAAAGUCCCCUUUGCCAUUCUCAUGAUACUGAGUCUCAUAAGAUCUGAUGGUUUAAAAGUGUGACACUUCUUUCCCUUGCUCUCUCUCCUGCCACCAUGUCAGAUGUGCCUUGCUUCUCCUUCACCUUCUGCCAUGAUUGUAAGUUUCCUGAGGUCUGCUCAGCCAUGUGGAACUGUGAAUACACCUUUCUUACACCAUACACAAAACUCAACUCAAGAUGGAUCAAAGACUUAACUGUAAAACUCCAACUAUAAAAACCUUAGAAGACAACCCAGAAAACACCAUUCAGGGCAUAGACAUUGGCAAAGAUUUCUUGAUGAGGACACCAAAAGCAAUUAUAACAAAGCAAAAAUUGACAGAUGGGAUCUAAUUAAAUGAAAGAGCUUCUUUCUUCUGAAAGAGGCUGAGCAGACCUCAGCAAGGAAACUAUCAAAAGAAUGAACAGACAACCUACAGAAUGGGAGAAAAUUUUUGCAAUCUAUCCAUUUGAAAAAGGUCUAAUGUCCAGCAGCCAUAAGGAACUUUAACAAAUUUACCAAAAAAACAAAAAACAAAAAAAAACUUAUUAAAAAGUGGGCAAAGGACAUGAACAGAAACUUCUCAAACGAAGACAUACAUGCAGCUAACAAAUAUAUGAAGAAAAGCUCAACAUCACUGAUCAUUAGAGAAAUGCCAAUCAAAAGCACAGUGAGAUACCAAUUCACACCAGUCAGACUGGGUAUUACUAAAAAAGCCAAUAAAACAACAGAUGCUGGCGAGGUUGUAGAGAAAAAUUAAUGCUUCUACACUGUGCUUGGGAGUGUAAAUUAGUUCAACCAUUGUGGAAAACAGUGUGGUGACUUUUUAAAGACCCAAAGGCAUAAAUACCAUUUGACCCAGCAAUUCCUUUACUGGUAUAUACACAAAGGAAUAUAAAUCAUUCUGUUAUAAAGACACCUGCAUAUGUAUAUUCACUGCAGCACUAUUCACAAUAGCAAAACCAUGGAAGCAACCUAAAUGCCCAUCAAUGAUAGACUGGAUAAAGAAAAUGUGGUACAUAUGUACCAUGGAAUACUCUGCAGCCAGAAAAACAAAUGAGCUCAUGUCUUUUGCAGGGACAUGAAUAGAGUUGGAGGCCAUUAUCCUUAGCAAACUAACACAGGAACAGAAAACUAAAUACCACAUGUUCUCACUUAUAAGUGGGAGCUACAUGAUGAGAACACAUGGGCACAUGUUGGAGAAAAAUACACACUGGGGCUUGUCAGAGGGUUGGGGGUAGAGGAGAGAGAGGAUAAGAUAGAAUAGCUAAUGGAUGCUUGGUUUAAUACCUGGGUGAUGGGAUGAUCUGUGCAGUAAAUACCAUGGCACAUGUUUACCUAGGUAACAAACCUGCACAUCCUUCACAUGUGCCCCUGAACUUAAAGCAGAAGUUGGAAAUUGAAAAAAAUUAUUUCUAUUUGGGCUUGAAAAAUAACUGUGUUGGCACAUAUAUGCCUUUUAGCCUAAUGGGGUCUUCCUGCCCACUGCACAGACAAAAUCAGUUGCCACAGAGACCAUGUCAUUGCAGUGAAGAAAGAAUUUAAUUAACACAGGACUGGCCACACCACUCAGGAAAUGGAGUUAUUACUCAAAUCAAUCUCCUCAAAGACUUGGAGAAUUUUUCAAGGACAGCUUGGUGAGCAGGUGGCUAGGGUAUGCGGAGUCCUGAUUGGUUGGGUCAGAGAUAAAAUCACAGGGAGUCUAAGCUGGCUUCUUUCACUGAGUCACUUCUGGAUGGGGCCUCAGGAGUGGUUGUUGCAUCCAGAUGGACCCAUUGGUUGUCAAACAUGCAAAAAUCCUGAAGUGAUAUCUCAAAAGGCCAAUCUUAGGUUCUCUAAUAGUGAUAUUACCUGCUGAAGUAAUUGAGGAAGUUGCAUAUCUUGUGACCUCUAGAAUCAUGGCUGGCUAUCAUUUAUAUCUACACAUUAGCAGAAUUCUGGCUCCUCUGUCCUCCUAGCCUGGUGGUCUGUCAUUAACUUCACAAAGGUGGUCGAGUUUGGGGUAAGGACUAUUCCCACUUAAAUUAUCAACUAAAUGUCUCCCAAAGUUAGCUUGGCAUAAGCCCAAGAAUACUUAAGGGCAGCUUGAAGUCUAAUGGCCUGAUGGGGGUUAUCUAGAUUAGAUCUCCCCCUCUGCCAUAAUUUUCUCCUGUUAUAAUUUUUGCAAAGGCAAAGAUUCACAACACAUUAAAUAAAAUAAUGAACCUUUACUAGAGAUUUGACGUGAGGUAAGAUAGUGUUUAUGAUUCUAUAGAGAACCUUUUUUUUUUCAAGUGGGCUUGUUUAUCUUUCUCAGAAUGGAUGCCCUGAAAUGAUUAAACACUAUCUGCAGUACUGGGGAUUCACAUGAUAUAAAAAAAAUAUUUUGAUUCAGUUAAUUAAAACAGCAAAGUCUAUAUAGUAGGAGAACAGUUUGACUGAACUGUUCUGUUACCUUAAAUUAUUAAACUCCUGUGUUUGGCAUUUACAAGGAACAUUUGCCUUUCUCUCUCUAAUGCUAAAUCAAAAGAAUUUAAUUCAAAUAUUAUUUCUUAUUAUGAACACCAAUUUUAGGAUUGUAUUGGUUGUAGUUAGAUUGGUUGAUCUCAUAUAAUAUCAAAUGUAUCCUCUAUUUAGUGAAGAUAUCAAAGAGGAAUCAAGAGAGCACAUAUUCUGAUAUUUGAAAUCCGAACUUUUUUUCUUCCAACUACAGAAGCCCUAAAGUGUGAGAUCUUUGAAGAAUUCAUUUAUUUUUUUUGACAUGAGCUGCAGGUGUCUUCUGGACAAGAUGCCUAAAUAUGGACUGGUUGCCAUGAGGGAGAAGAAUAUAAUAUUAAUGUGGAAUUUUUAUAAGAGAAUAAAUAAACCUCUGCUGGCAACAAAUGAAGGCAUAAUUAGAUUAUUCUAAAGAAACUUCUCUAUAAACAAACUGAGAUGGGUUAGUAAACAAUGAAGAAAUUUUAUGCAAUAGUUUUGGCAAGAAUUAUACAGAAGGCAAUAAUGGUCAGAUAUUGUUUGUAAGAUCACAUAUUGAAGAGGCAUCAUUUGUCUUGGGUAAUACCCAAGGUUCGUUCCCUCACAGCAAGGAAAUCAAGGAUAUGGAUACAAACAAGAUUAAGAGCAGAGGUUUAAUAGGCAAAAGCAAAAAGAGAAAAGCUCUCUCUCCUGCAAAGACAGAGUGGCUCUUGAGUGUGUCUUCUGGUUCUGUGGUGAAAUGCAUGGGGUUUUAUAGAGGAGCUUGAGGAGGUGGUGUCUGAUUUACAUAGGGCAUGAGAGAUUGGUCAGACCAGGUGUGCUGUUUGCAUAGCUUACAAAGAAGCUGGCCAUCCCACCCUAAUCUUUUAUGAUGCAGAUGGGGGUCUUAUGUAGCCUGCUUUUUUACUGCACGUGUGUUAUAAUGAGAAUUGUUGAUGCCGCAAAAGAAGUAGCACUUGAAUAUAAAUUUUCUGAGCAAAGCAAUUUGCUUCUAUAGCAGGGUGCAGCUCACAAAUGGAACAAUGGCAAGUGCACAUCUGGACAAGGAGGGGAAGGGGUACUUAAGCCUGAUGGAGGUCACCUCUACUGCUGUGUCACUCCCCUGUUGGCUAGGGUUAGAACACACAGUCUAGUCUAAUUCCGAUUGACUAUUUUAAUGGGAGUAGGAGUACGAGCCAGAGUGAUGGGGUGGGUAGUUUGGCGGGAAGGAUGGUUAUGGGUAGGUCAGAGGAGGUAAGUAAGGGCAGUAGUAGGGGUCAAAGCAGGUGACCAGAGCAGUUGACCGGGAUGAGUCAGGAGGGGGAAGGGGACUGGGGAACAGAUGUGAACUACUGAUUAGAAAUGGUGGAAAAGGUUGUUUACUGAAACUACAAGGAAAUUAAAUUUUAAAAUAAAGAACAAGUCAGCUGAACAUACUGACAUAUUGAUUCUUUGAAGAGAAACUUGGGGUUCACUAUAUCUAACAAGCGCAACAAAGAAUAGGGAAGAGGAAACCUCCAUGUUGAAUAUACCUGGCUUACAGGUAUCCCUUUUCUAUUGGUAUAGCUCUCAGCAUUUACCUAUGCAAGCUUUUACCUUGCUUAUCUAUGCUUGCAGCUUGAUUUUUCAGACUGCUUUUUGUUAGAAAAGAAAUGAUUUGGGGCUAAUUUUUAUAAAAUGAAAACAUUACUGAGGACUUUCUUACCCUAUCUGCCUGAGUAAUUUCUAGCUCCUGUAUCAAUAUGAAAUGGCUUAUAGUUGCACUGAGCCAGAAGAUAAUGAAAUUAUGUAAUCAGAAUUUUAUAUCAGGAAGGGGCCUAAAAGAUAAAUUAGCCCAGACAUAGCAUUUUAAACUAUAAAAUAUAAGAUUCAGAAACAUUGACUUUUUCAAAGACACAUUAGUUUGGGUCAUAGUCAAUAUCACAAUUCAGUUUAAUGGAACAGAAAUAUAUUAAGCACUUACUAUGUGUCAGGUUCUUAGAAAUUCAGGGAACAAAGGUUUUUAAAAAGGUGAAUCCUACCUUUGAUCUUACUAUCUCAUUAGAGAGCCAUACAUUUCAUGCCUUCCCUCAAUGUGAAGAUUUAGCAUGGGCCCCAUCCUGUUCAGCCCUGUCCCGCUGCAGUACCUGCCAGCCAUGGGCUCCAAGCGAUUCAACAAGGGCCCCUGGUACCAGCUGUCGGCCAGGUCAGGAACCAGCUCCUGUCCAAGUAUGAACCCCAGAAGGAGGCAGAGCUCCGCAGCUGGAUCGAGGGACUCACUGGCCUCUCCAUCCGCCCGGACUUCCAGAAGGGCAUGAAGGAUGGGAUUAUCCUAUGCACACUCAUGAACAAGCUAUAGCCGGGCUCAGUUCCCAAGAUCAACUGCUCCAUGCAGAACUGGCACCAGCUAGAAAACCUCUCCAACUUCAUCAAGGCCAUGGUCAGCUAUGGCAUGAACCGCUUGGACCUGUUCAAGGCCAACAACCUGUUUGACACUGGGAACAUGAUGCAGGUAAAGGUGUCUCUUCUCACCCUGGCAGAGAAGGCCAAGACUAAGGGGCUGCAGAGCAGGAUGGACAUCGGCAUCAAGCACCCGGAGAAGCAGGAGUGGAACUUCGACGAUGCCAGCAUGAAGGCCAGCUGGUGCAUCAUAGGGCUGCAGAUGGGCAACAACAAAUGCGCCAGCCAGUCGGGCAUGAUGGCAUAUGGCACAAGGAGGCAUCUCUGCGACCUCAAGAACCACAUCGUGCCCCCCAUGGACCACUCGACCAUCAGCCUCCAGAUGAGUACCAAGAAGUGUGCCAGCCAGGUUGGCAUGACGCCUCCUGGGACAUGGCAGCACGUCUAUGACACCAAGCUGGGAACCGACAAGUGAGACAGCUCCUCCAUGUCCCUGCAGAUGGGCUACAGCAGGGCGCCAACCAAAGUGGCCAGGUCUUUGGCCUGGGCUGGCGCAGAUACACGACCCCAAAUACUGCCUACAAGGCACAGUGGCCAAUGGGGCUCCCUCUGAGGCCGGCGACUGCCCGGGCGCAGGGAGGUCCCUGAAUAUCCCCCUUACUACAGGAAGAGGCUGGCUACUGAAGCUCCCAGCACACUCUCUCCCCACGUCAUCUUCCCAUCUGGGUGUUUGGGUUUUUCUGUGUUUUCAUCUUUUAUUUCUUAACCUGUUCAGUGCUGCAAAACAACCGAGGGUCUGUGAGUGGCUCGUGGGAUCAGCAGGGCUUUUUUCCCCUUGCCUUGGUCCUUUGCAAGACUGAGCCACCAGGCUUCAGGAUAAGGGGUCAAGGUUGUAUCCCAAUCUGUGUAGGGUGCGGGUCCCUGAUGGCACGUCCAGGAUGUGGGCAGAGCUGGGGAGAAGAGACCUGGGCUUGGAAGGAACCGGCCUCCGAAGGUUUCCGGUUGCAUCGCCUCUUCCCACUUUUGUCACCCAAUCAGUUGGUGGUUUCUGUACCUGCAAAAGUUUCAGGAAGUAUUAGCAAAAGAAAAAACUUUUUUUCCCCCUGAGGAAUGGGGUGGGGACAGUGGAGGGGGUAUUGGGAAAUGGGUCCCCUGGGAAAGACUCCCAAGUGACUGGAUUUCCCUAUGACCCUCAGAGCAACAAACCUCAGACUCUCAGACCUGCCCUGGGGCCCUGUGGGGUAAGUGAGGCCUGUACAAGGAAGCAGAAUUCUGAGUUGUUGGGGGUAAGCUUGACCCCAUCUCUAUGCUACUCUGCCCUCCCCAUAGCCUCAUUGUUUUUUUUUUUUUUGUUUUGUUUUUUUCUUGUUGCUGUUGCCCAGGCUGGAGAGCGGGGGGGUGAUCUUGGCUUACUGCACCUCCACCUCCCUAGCUCAAGGGAUUCCCCUGCCUCAGCCUCCCAAGUAGCUGGGACUGCAUGUGCUCCACCACACUGGCUAAUUUUUAUAUUUUUAGUAGAGACAGGGUUUCACCAUGGUGGCCAGGCUGGUCUUGAACUCCUGGCCUCAGGUGAUCCAUCCACCUCGGCCUCCUCAAGUGCUGGGAUUACAGGCAUGAGUCAUGGCUGUAAUCCCAGGGGCCCUGCUCCAUGCUCAAUAAAACCUCUGUUUGUAAGAAAAAGAAAGAAGAAAGGAAAGAAAGAAAGAGAAAGAAAAGAAAGGAAGGAAGAAAGAAAAAGAAAGAAAGAGAAAAUGUAGUAUUGUAAUUCUAUGAUACAGUAUACAAAGUGUCUGAUUUGCUGUUUCUGAAAAGCCUUUUUGGAUAAGAUGGCACAUGAGUUGGACACAUGAAGAAGGGUAGGAAGGUCAUUCCGGAGAAAGAUAACCGGAAGAGCAAAGGCGUAGGGGUAUUGUGUAUGUACGAACAAACAAGCCGAAAAAGGUGGAGGCAGAAAAUGGCAAGAGCUUUGCUAGGUAGGAACUAAGUCUUACAGGGCAACAUUGGCAGGUACUUAGGUUUUAUUUUGUACAACAGUAGUAUGUGGCAUUCAAAGGAUUUUAACACUGAAAAUAUAAACGUAAAUUUAUUUGAUAUUCUGGUCACAAUAUGGGGAAAAGGUGACUACUCAGGAAGUAAUUAGAGUAGCCCAGGAAAGAGAUGAUGAGGUCAUUAUCUAGAACGAUGGUCAUACUGGAAUAUAACAACAUAAAAAUGCCAAGGAGGGGAGAUUUAAGGAAGUUGAGAAUUGUUAGUGUUGAGGAGUCUACGAUUACUUUUAGGUUUCUAAAUGAGUGGCUGUAUCGAUGAUGUCGCCUAAGUAUUGGGGCAAAAUACUUAGAAUUGUUUUAUUGCAUUUGUAAUAAAACAAUACAUUUCAUUUUGAACACAGUGAGAUUGAGGUUCCUGUGUGGCAUCCAAGUUGAUGUGUCCAGAAGGACAUGUGAGGCUAAAGUUCGUGAUAGAGUCAGACUAGGGUGAUAUACGUGGGAGUCAUCAAUUUACUUGAAAUGAUGAGAGUAGAUGAGAUCACUAAAAAUAUUAUAUAAAUAAUGAAGACUAUUGGUCCUGCUAAAAGCUUGUAAAAUACACACAAACACAUACUUACUGAGAAAUGAUCAGAGAAGAAUAAAAGAAUCAAUAGAGCAUUUAUAUAUGUGCUGAUGGAGAGAACUGAAUUUCAAGGAGUGGUUAACAUCAAAGGCUUCAGAGAGAUCCAAAAAGAUAUGGUUUGAAAAAUCAUAGUUGGACUUGAUCAUGGGGGCGCAUUUGGUAAUCCCUGCAGAGCCAUGUGCUGAACAUCAGGUUGCACGGUGGAACAACGGAAGACUGACAGUGACGCCCAGUCAAGAGCUCCUUCCACUAUACCACGUUGUCAAAACUUUAUCUUCAACUCUCUUCCUUCUCCACUGUCUCCCAACUACCUGAAGUCCAUUUGCAGAUCAUGAUUAUGUCUUUUUGUUUAAAUACAGUAGAGAAUUAUCGAAUGUAAUUUCAGAGCCUUAUGUUCAGUCCUUUUUUGGAUCUAAAUUUGUAGGUUCUACAGUAUCCAUUACUUAGGAAAAAAAAAGUAAAAGGACUAGAGUCAAGAAGGGUCUUUUAAAAACUGACAUGCACUUUUAAAUUUAUCUAAUUUUUAGAAAAAAAUUUAAUAUAUUUUCUGGCUGUAUAUUUUACAAGAUGCUCAACAUUAUCAGAAAUAUUAAAAAUCAGUUUUGACGCUUCCAAGUUACAAUGACAGACUAAAAACCUCCCUUCAGGAAAUGCAGUGCAAAUUACAACUAAAUUUUAGCAUAAAACUCUACCUUUAUUAAUAAUAAACUGAAGAGAAAGCUGUAAGACAACUUUAAAAUAUAAAGGCAAUCCACUAAAUGCUGUAACAUUAGGAUAAAUUAAUGAGAAAGCUGUGGUGAAAUAUUAUAAAGUUCAUGCAGAGUGGCUGCCUAAAUAUGACAUCACCAGCAGAAUUACUCAAAGAUAUAAAUAGGUUGACUGACUAUUCUGUUAAUUUGGGUAGUAUUGGAGGAGUCAUAUUAAAGAGAAACAUAAUAUCUUGCCCAUCCAGAAAGCAUAUGGAAGAAAUUUGGCAGGUGGCUCUUUGGUCCAAAAAAACUAGUAAGUUUAUCUCAGAUAAUGGCAAUUAUCAAUGGCAAUCAAAUGGCAUGGGCCAAACAAGUUCAUUGCACAAGCCAAAAGUGGAUAACCAUUAUUUUAGACAUCUGCCAGUGUAUACAUUUACUUAGGAAAUGAAUGGCAUGGGCCUAAAAGCUAAUGGUGAUUUUUUAAUGAACUAGUGAGAGCCAGGAGUGUAAGUGCAUGAAGGAGCAUGACUGGCAGGGCUAGGGGAAUAGGGAAAGGCCUGGGAGUACCUCUAUAAAGCGUUUCCAGAUAAAGACGAUAAGGAGAGUAAGGCUCAAAGGGGAACUGUUCUGUUAUUUUCUUUGCCCUAGCAUUCUACAUAGAGAAACUGUCUGGUGUUGAGGCACAGUAAAGGUAAGAAGAGAAAUGCAAAGAAUUUUGCAGUUGUUGACCAAAAAUCGGAAAAUUUCUCCUCCACAGGAAAACUUUGGCAUGCAUAGUUUCAGUAUGAACCAUAUUAUUAAUUUUUUACUUAUUGCACAGGAAAGAAAUGCAAACUGAGAGAUAUGUUCCAAGAGCAGAGGAACAAUGAAGAUCUGGUGAAAAAGUGUUCUGAAAUAGCACCUACAUUUAAGCUUUUAUCUUCCCCAGAUUUACCCAACUCCACACACUUUGUUUUUACAAAAUGGAUUUCCUGUUCAAAGAUAAGCUAUAAACAGCACAGGGAAUAUAUAUAAUAACUAUGAAAAAAGGAAUGAAAGUAAAGGAUAAAAUAACAUCAUCCCCCUUCAAAGGAACAAAAACUUAAAAAACAUUUUUUCUAAAUGUUCCAAAAAAUUUGCAUAUGGUACUGCAAAUGUGAGGGCUAAAAAUAAGAGGUUAAAAACAAAGAGUAUUGAGCUGGCAGAGAUCAGAUUAAAAAUGGAAGAUAAAAAUAAAAUAUUACCAAGAAGAAACUCAGUUGAGAAGCAUCAAAAAGCAUCCAAAUUAUUUUUGAAAAUAUGAUCAUUGAUAAACAGAGUAUGCUUGAUUAAAAACAAUAAAAGGAAAAUGAGAUUAGAGAGAUAAUCAUUUUAUAAAAUAGACAAAUGACAUUGAGUAUAAAUAAUAAGAAAAAGAUAAAAGGAAAAAUAGAGGAAGAAUUUAUACAUGUAUACUGUACAUUAUGUAUGUAUGUAAAUUAAUUUACAUACAUAAUUAAAUGAUAUAUUUAUGUGUAUGUGUAUGGUCAUCCUCAGUAUCUGUGGGAGAUUGGUUCCAGGACUCUCCCCACUCCCUGCUUCCCAUAGAUACCAAAAUCUACUAAAUUACCAAAUGUAUUUGUCCAUUUUCAUGCUGCUGAUAAAAACGUAUCUCGGCCGGGCACGGUGGCUCAAGCCUGUAAUCUCAGCACUUUGGGAGGCCAAGGCGGGUGGAUCAGAGGUCAAGAGACCGAGACCAUGCUGGUCAACAUGGUGAAACCCCGUCUCUACUAAAAAUAUAAAAAAUUAGCUGGGCAUGGUGGCACGUACCUGCAAUCCCAGCUACUCGGGAGGCUGAGGCAGGAGAAUUGCCUGAACCCAGGAGGUGGAGGUUGCGGUGAGCCGAGAUCACGCCAUUGCACUCCAGCCUGGGUAACAAGAGCGAAACUCCGUCUCAAAAAAAAAAAAAAAUCUCAGACUAGGCAAUUUACAAAAGAAAUAGGUUUAUUGGACGUACAGUUCCACAUGGUUGGGGAGGCCUCACAAUCAUGUUAGAAGGCAAGGAGGAGCAAGCCACAUUUCAUGUGGAUGGCGGCAGACAAGGAGAGGGUUGCACGGAGAAACUCCUGUUUUUAAAACCAUCAGAUCUCAUGAGACUUAUUCACUAUUAAAGGGAUAACAGAGAAAGGCCUCACCCCCAUGAUUCAAUCAUUUUUUACCUGCUCCCUCCCACAACACAUGGGAAUGUGAAAUACAAGAUUAGAUUUGGGUGGGGAUGCAAAGCCAAACCAUACCAUCUAGUCUCAGGUAUUUCUUUAUAGUAAUGCAAAAUGUACUAACACUUCUGCAAUGUAUUUUGAAGUCAGAUAGUGUGAUGCCUACCAUUUUGUUCUUUUUGUUCAAAAUUUAUUUGACUAUUCGUGUUCUUUUUCAGUUUGAUAUAAAUUUUAGGAUUUUUUUUCUAUUUUUGUGAAGAAUGCAUUGAAUCUAUAGAUUACUUUGGGUAGGGAUUGCAUUGAAUCUACAGAUUGCUUUGGGUAGUAUGAUCAUUUUAAUGAUGUUGAGUCUUCUAAUCCAUAAUCAUGGGAAAUUUUUUUCACUUUUUUUGUGCUUUUAUUUCAUCAGUGUUUCAUAGUUUUCC